rnacentral:lncRNA from 1 species
CUUUACGGUUUCGAAUGUGUACGUGUGUGUGUGUAUCGAUGUGAAGCAGCUGUGCGUGGCUAUGUAUAUGUUAUCCAUUAGAAGAUACGUUGAAUAAAACAAAAAUCGUAUCGUAUUUAUUGAUCAAACGUUAUUUCGACGAAAGAAAAAAAGAAAUGAAAAUGUAUUAUUAAAUCGAAGAUCAUUCUAGAAGCGUAGUAAAACGUCCUUCGAGAAAGGGAACUGCGUAGUUCUCGGUUUCGCCCUUUUUUAGGCUACGUGGAAACUACGCAUUGGUUUUUGGCCCUGGUCACGUGAACAGUCGAAAGAAAGAAAGAAAAUAACGUGAGAGAAAA